UGGUUGUUUAGUUUUAUAAAAAUAAAUGUGUUGAAAACAUUAGAAAAGCGAAUUUCCCGCUUAACAACUAA
rnacentral:tRNA from 1 species